rnacentral:misc_RNA from 1 species
GAUGAAGAACGCAGCGAAAUGCGAUAAAUAAUGUGAAUUGCAGAAUUCCGUGAAUCAUCGAGUUUUUGAACGCACAUUGCACUCCUUGGUAUUCCGAGGAGUACGCCUGUUCGAGCGUCAUUUCACCACUCAAGCCUCGCUUGGUAUUGGGCAACGCGGUCCGCCGCGUGCCUCAAAUCGACCGGCUGGGUCUUCUGUCCCCUAAGCGUUGUGGAAACUAUUCGCUAAAGGGUGUUCGGGAGGCUACGCCGUAAAACAACCCCAUUUCUAAGGUUGACCUCGGAUCAGGUAGGGAUACCCGCUGAACUUAAGCAUAUCAAUAAGCGGAGGA